rnacentral:rRNA from 1 species
UUUCGGGAAUGGAAGCGAAAUGAAAGUGGCGAACGGGUGAGUAACACGUGAGCAACCUACCUUACACAGAGGGAUAGCCGUUGGAAACGACGAUUAAUACCGCAUGAGACCACAGAAUCGCAUGAUAUAGGGGUCAAAGAUUUAUCGGUGUAAGAAGGGCUCGCGUCUGAUUAGCUAGUUGGAAGGGUAAAGGCCUACCAAGGCGACGAUCAGUAGCCGGUCUGAGAGGAUGAACGGCCACAUUGGAACUGAGACACGGUCCAAACUCCUACGGGAGGCAGCAGUGGGGAAUAUUGCACAAUGGGGGGAACCCUGAUGCAGCGACGCCGCGUGAGCGAAGAAGGUUUUCGAAUCGUAAAGCUCUGUCCUAUGAGAAGAUAAUGACGGUAUCAUAGGAGGAAGCCCCGGCUAAAUACGUGCCAGCAGCCGCGGUAAUACGUAUGGGGCGAGCGUUGUCCGGAAUUAUUGGGCGUAAAGGGUACGUAGGCGGUUUUUUAAGUCAGGUGUGAAAGCGUGAGGCUUAACCUCAUUAAGCACUUGAAACUGGAAGACUUGAGUGAAGGAGAGGAAAGUGGAAUUCCUAGUGUAGCGGUGAAAUGCGUAGAUAUUAGGAGGAAUACCGGUGGCGAAGGCGACUUUCUGG